rnacentral:tRNA from 1 species
GCCUGGAUGGUUCAGUUGGUUGGGCAUCUGAUUUCGGCUCAGGUCAUGAUCUCACAGUUCGUGAGUUCAAGUCCCAUGUCAGGCU